rnacentral:rRNA from 1 species
UAUCCAACCUGCCGUCUACUCUUGGCCAGCCUUCUGAAAGGAAGAUUAAUCCAGGAUGGCAUCAUGAGUUCACAUGUCCGCAUGAUUAAAGGUAUUUUCCGGUAGACGAUGGGGAUGCGUUCCAUUAGAUAGUAGGCGGGGUAACGGCCCACCUAGUCAACGAUGGAUAGGGGUUCUGAGAGGAAGGUCCCCCACAUUGGAACUGAGACACGGUCCAA